rnacentral:misc_RNA from 1 species
GUCAUCAGGGACAGCCAUUACCGCCACCCUUGAACCCAAGAGCGAUGUCCAGGAGAGGGUGCUUGCUCUGCGACAGACGGCGGCGGUCGUCCACCUGCAGGCUGCAGCACGCGGUUUCCUAGCGCGUCGGCGGGUGAAGCAGAUGAUGGGGGUGCUCCAUUGCGAGGGAGUCGUAGCUGCACCAGCGCGCCCGAGCAACGUGGUGGUUGUUCACCUCCGCGUACAAGAGGCUGCAAGACAUGGCGCCCCUCUGCAACGCUUCGUCCGGCGCUGGCCCUCAUCUGCGGCGACCGGGCAAGUACCACGACUACUCUCCUUCGUACAAGGGGGUCUGCUGGCCUCGCCACCAUCUGCUCU